UCCAACAACUUUGCUUAAAUUUCGAACUGAUUGAUUUGUUCUAUCAUCUAUGAUAGGAGUAAGUGGAGGGGGUUAUGUCUUAUCCAAGAGCAAAUUGGUGUCUUUGACGAACACAGAACUUGCAUCAUCUACAUAACACAAUAUGGACCUAACCAUAUGAGCACUGGCAAAUGGCGUAACUUAUCCCAACUACAGACACACAGUCCUCGUAGAGUAUUGACUUGCUAAAAUGCACUGGUUGUCAUAUGGAUUACUCUGAUUAACAAAAAGAAAUUGCUUAAGAAAUGGUUAAAAUCACAAACUACAUGUUACUCUGAUAAACUUGGGUGCACAACAUUGAGAACAAUACCACAAGUUCACAGCAGGAAUUGAGAACUUAACAGUCAUAAUAUCAACCACUACGCCAUCGUCGAGUUGUUGAAAAUAAUGCCUAAUUCAGCUUCCUAACAUCAACUAACUAAGAUUCUACCUUCCUACCUUGGAUAGUUUUACUGAAGCUCUCAUCUGCCACCCCCACC